rnacentral:rRNA from 1 species
AUUGAACGCUGGCGGCAGGCUUAACACAUGCAAGUCGAACGAGUGGCGGACGGGUGAGUAAUGCUUGGGAAUCUGGCUUAUGGAGGGGGAUAACGACGGGAAACUGUCGCUAAUACCGCGUACCAUAGGCUGAGCCCAUGUGGGAUUAGGUAGUUGGUGGGGUAAUGGCCUACCAAACCGACGAUCUCUAGCUGGUCUGAGAGGAUGACCAGAAAAACCGGGAAUUGGCAACGGCCCUGACGCCGACGGGAGGAAGCAGUGGGGAAAAUUGCGCAAUUGAGGAAACCGGACGAAGCCAGGCCGCGGUAAUGAAGAAGGCCUUCGGGUUGUAAAGUUCUUUCGGUGACGAGGCGUUAAUCACAGAAGAAGCACCGGCUAACUCCAUGCCAGCAGCCGCGGUAAUAC